UUUACAACAUAUUGCUAUCUGUAGCCUACUAUUUACCUUACUGUACUGUAACAACUUGUGUAAGUUAACAAACUGUGUUUUACCGUGUGUGUGUGGUGUGGUUGUAGGUUUUGUUUGGUUUCUGGUUAUUGGUCUGACAGAUAUUGAAGCAGUACUGUCAGUGUUUAGUGCAGAGCUGUGAAGUAGGCAUGCAGUUACCGUCCGAUGCAUUGUCAACAGGGACUCACUGCAACACAAAGGCUCUGCUCCAAUAGCCACACUUGCAUAACAUUUAUUAUAAAGCAAUGCAUAGGUACUCUAGAGCAGUUGUUUUCAGCCUGUGGUUUGUCCCCUGGUAGUCCAGUGUUACUGCAGGUGAUCCAUUCAUUAUGUUAUGUGAGGAAAGAGUUGAUUCCUUCAAUUACAAAAACUGUUAGGAGUUUUAAUGUUAUUAUAAAGGAUUUAGCAUUUUCAUAAUGUACAUUUUACUUAUUAUAAUAUACAAUGUACUAAUUAUAAUAGUCAUGUAUCUUUUACUUUAAGUGAUUAGGACUACAUUUCAACAAGUAAAGCAGGUAAUUAAGGUAAAAUUAGACUUCACAACUGUAAUACUUAAGCAUUUGACAGUAAUUUGGUGGUCCUCGGCCCAAAAAGGUUUGGGAACUGCUACUCUAGUCUAUGAGGUAUGCUAUGCUGGGUUGGGGUACAUUUUGGAAGCGCACUGAAAUUAACAAUCCAAUUUUCUUCAAUGCUUUUCAAUGAGGAAAAAAAUAUAUUUGGAAUUGCCACCAACCCUGGUGUUAUGCUAGUACGGAUAUUGGAAUGUGGCCUGAAAUCUGUUACAUAGGGUGCAUUUACACAGGCAGCCCUAUUUUAUUUUUUUCCCAAUUUAUGGUAUUUGGACCUCAUAUCAGACCUUCUCAUCACAUCUUUUUGUUUUUGAUUUAAUAAAAACUGAUCAGGACAGGACUGGCUCCAGGAUAAAAUUAGUGGCAUUUUUUAUCAAUGGGAGGGCAUAUCUAAUUCCUAUACCAUUUGCAGUGUUUAAGGGGAAACAAAACUAGGGGCACAGAUUCUAUCUGGGUGGGGGGCAAUGCCCAGCUUUGCCCCCUAUGGAUCCAGGCCUGUAUCAGAAGUGGGCUGUCUAAACGCAGCCUAGAUAGCCAUUCUCACGUUAUCUAUGGUGCUAUGUGCAGGAGUAUUUACACUUCUAAUGUGACGUUUAUACUAACAUUUUCUACUCAUAACUACUGGUGAUGAUCGUGUGUUUCUCCAGUAGUAGCUGGUGAGCAGGCUGAGUGAUGGUAGUGUAUCAACAUGCUAUCUGGGCAGACUCCUGUUUUCUAAUUCUCUUGUCAUAUUUGUUUCAUUCAAACUAUUCUAAUGCAUUUUUUUUUUUUACUUGUAAUUUUAAAUGAUGCAGUUUUCAUUGGUAAUAUGAACUAGUUUUUGUACAAAUUACAAACCUGAGUAUAUGAGGUAUUUAUAAGUAGGGGAGUGUGGGGGAAAUUGGAACACCUUGAAUAUGUCACAGAAAUUAGGAAUGCUAGAGUUUUUUUUUUUUUUUUUUUGAGAGGGGGUUGAAAUGUUCUUUCACCAGCUGAAAUGUUCUCAUACAUUCCUGAACAUUAAUGUAUAAAAAUCGAACAACUGAAUUACUAAAUGUUGUCUAAACAUUGACAUGAUCGACUUGUCACUUGACUUUUCUCUUGCAAGGCACAAAGUUUGUCUGUUAGGGUUGUGGGUAGUUGUUACACAAUGUGCAAAUUAAAUGGAGACAAGUAGCCAGAUUAUGAAAACACAUGUUUUUUUUACUUGAAACUGAAGGUGAUUUGGUGUAGAGUACCAUAGAUGUAAAUAUAUAAUCUGGGUGCCAUCAGACAAACAAUGUACUAAUUGGCCUGGCAUAAACAGGACUGUAAUGUUGGUCACUUGCAUAAAAAGUCCUUAAAUAGUAUUUUAAUUCCGGUUUAGUGAGUUUUGGAUUUAUUUUAGGAGUUACAUCUGAAUCCAGCUAAAGGUAUGACUGCCCCUGGAAUGGAAGAAAAGGAACACCCGGACUUGUCAGGACAGAAUCGGUAGUGUGUUCUGUAUAUUGUAGACCUAGAAAUUAUAUUAAUGUUUUCGAGGCCCAUGUAUGCUUGUUGUAUUAAAGAAAUACUGGCCUAGUUUAAUUAGUCUCUGAGCAAUACAGUAGGUGUUAUAGUUUCCCCCAGUCUCACCUACAUUUGUAAGUUACUCAAUUCCCAACAGUUUUGCUUCAUGUCCUUUCCAUCCAAAUCAAGAUGGAUUUUAAACCAUGUUGCUCUACUUGGCUUUAGACAUAAGGUGAUACUACUGUAACUGUAUCUUCAAACCACAGUCAGACAUAUUAAAACCGAUGCAAUGAGACCUAUUCAGUUACUCAGCUCCCUAUGCUCAAGUAUCCAUUUGUUGACAUUUUAUCAUCUUUUAAAAGGUUCUCCAUUUGAAAAUUUGUAUUUAGAAGGCUUCUUACCCAAGAGUCAUAUUACAUAUUUUCUUAAUUGAAACAUUUGGUUUACAGUAUCAUGAAAUCCAGUUGUUUCGAGGUGGGUAAAAUAAAAGGUGUUCAUCUAGAACACAAGCUGUCUAAAGUAGACUAUGGGCAACCCAUAAUACAUUACAUUUCUAAGUGUGUACAGUUCCAAGCAUGGAAUUAAAAUGAUGAUUCCAUAUGUGACACGGUACUACGUUUUAGAUCGUGGCACCUAUUGAAAAUUGAUACUAUUCUGAACACUACAUUCAGUUUUACCCAUCCAAAAUGUUAGUGGGCACACAAUCAUUCACAAAUUUGAGCCUUUCAUUCCAUUUCUAUUGGAGAUUUUCAAGAGCACAUGGUAUUGUGGAACAGUAAUGCCUCAAAGCCAUACAAACAGAGAAAUCCAAGCUCUGUGUAUGUCUGUUAGUGUGAUGAAUGUAACUUUACCUCACAGUUUGGGAAAUAUCUUUUAGUACCACAUCUGCCCCCGACCAACUAACUACAGUAUAUACUGUUUUAGCAUCAUUUUGAGCCUUUAGUUCAUUGUACAUGUGUGGAAACAUUUUGUAUUGUUUUUUCUUGUUGUGUCUGGUUUCAUUUAAGCACUCUUUAGACCUAUUGUUUACUUAACAUUUUUGAAUAACUACAUAUUCAUUUGAAUAAUAGUUAGCUAAAGUGGCUAAAUUAGUUUUUGUGAAGUUCUCAGCAGUGUGUGUUUGACAGCUUCAGUGUCAUACAUUGAUCAAAUUCCCUGUUUCAUGACUGUCCAUCAUCCUGGUCUGAUGUUCUUAUUGGCCGGACUGACUCUCAAUCCUAAUACUUCAGUCUAGUCAGUGGCAGUGAUCUGCAUUUAGUUAUGUAACGUCAUAGCAAAUGCUGUGUUUUGACCUUGUUUUAAUGUCAUCCAUGAAUGGGUGCAGUUAUCUGGAUUCAGCUGUGAUCACCUUCACACUAGAACUGCUGUGCAGCUUAACUUGUCCACUGUAAACAUGUUGUAUUCCUGUUUGUAUCGUUAUCCUGUCCUUGUUUCAGGCCUGUUGAGAUUCAUAAUUGUGAGGUUAAAGGGAAAAGAGGUGGAGAUGGUUCUAACCAGGUAUUGUGAAAAGCUCUUAUAUUGGUAUGUGCUUAUCAGCAUUACUGUUGUUGCUGUGAAGAGCUUGACAUGAGAUCAAACAAAAACAUAAUAAUAAUAAUGACUCCUAACGCCAACAGUGAGCUGAGCUUUGUUAUCAGUCAGUUUGCUAACAAUUUUCACUCUGAGUUUUACUUUUCCUGUUUAAGUGUUGAGUUUUAUCUCAUCACUGCUUCAGUGAGAACAUUUAACAUUUUGAAAUGUUGACAUUUGCCUUUCCUCUGGACAUUCUUGUGAUUAUUUCUGUAAUUCUGCUG
ensembl:lncRNA